AAGGGAGACCUAAUUCAGGUAGGAGACGAAAAAAAAGUAGUCCCCACCAAGAAUCAAUCCCAAAAGGUCGGAGCGAGGCAAAAUUGGCUUUCAAACUAGGUUCUGGGUUCACACAAGACCUGAAUCAGGAACAAGGGCUAUUAGCUCAGGUGGUUAGAGCGCACCCCUGAUAAGGGUGAGGUCCCUGGUUCGAGUCCAGGAUGGCCCACCUGUACAGGUGGCAAAAAGAAAGAAAAGAAGCGAGGAAUCAGCACCUGAUCUUACUUAUAUAGUAAGAGAGAAUGCUGGCUCUGAGUUCAGAGUCCAGAGGAACCUUGAAAACUGCAUAGAGCUAGGUGAAAAAGCCAAAAAAGAAGACCGCAAGGUCAAGGUAAUAAGGGCUAACGGUGGAUACCUAGGCAC
rnacentral:tRNA from 1 species